UGAGGAAUAUUGGUCAAUGGGCGGUAGCCUGAACCAGCCAAGUCGCGUGAGGGAAUAAGGCCCUACGGGUCGUAAACCUCUUUUGCCGGGGAGCAAGUCAGGGUUCGAGAACCCUGAUGGAGAGUACCCGGAGAAAAAGCAUCGGCUAACUCCGUGCCAA
rnacentral:rRNA from 1 species